GGAGAUUCAUCGUUAAAAUAAUUGGUAUUAAUAUUAAUAAUGAUGCGGUGGAAAAUCCUUGUGGUUGGAAACUGUACAUUUUAGUAUUAUUUUGCCCGUUAUGUCGGCGUGCACUUCUCCUCUAGUAGAACAUCGCGACCCGUUAAAUGUUGAUUUAUAGCCCGAUUAGUUGUCUCUAAUUCUGCUUGCAGUAAUUAGAAACUAUUGGUGUUCUUAAUCAACUGUUUGACGGUAUUCAAAUGGUAAUAAGUCGCUGGAAUUGCGUUAAAUUCAUUACAAGUUGGAUUAAUUAUCGACAUUACGGAUCUGAUGCCGUAGUUGAGAUUAAUUAACUGUUAGUGGUGAUAAUCUUUAACUGACUUAUAUACCGGUCAGCGAUGCUAUUGCUUUGGGUACUUUCAGGACCCGUCUUGAAACACGGACCAAGGAGUCUAACAUGUACGCAAGUCAUUGGGAUAUUGAAAACAAACCUAAAGGCGUAAUGAAAGUAAAGAUUGUCUUCUGACAAUUAAGGGAGGAUAGGUUAUGUUACGAUAUAAUCUCGCACUCCCGGGGCA
rnacentral:rRNA from 2 species